ensembl:lncRNA
GAGAGAGAGAGGCAGAGAGACACAGAAAGAGAGAGAAGGUGGGGGGGGGCAGGAGUUGUGUAAAAGGGGCUGAAGUCCUGCGCUGUCUUCUCCGCUGCUGCUGCUGCUGUGUGCUCCACACACUUAAACGCUGUCAAACGUUUCCGUAGCGCGGACGCAAAUUUUUUCCACAGACAGCGACACACCCAGGCGGACUCCGCCGAGCAGUGGGCGAGGCAGCCUGAACUCCGCCGGACCGUUCAAGACGUGCCGGAGCGGGCAGGAGCGACCCGGCUGCUGUUGGUGGUCAAGUCACUGAGGUGUAGCAGCAUUCAAACCCCCGUCGCUGUCUCUCCAAACGUGGAGAUAACUGCAGCAAAGUCACAGUCAUGAUCGAAGUAAUCUUAUCUCGACCCUGAGCGUAGAGGUCAAAGAAGUAGGCUCAAAGCAUGAAAUACAUGCACCUAAAGCCAGAGGAAGAAAGAGGAAGGAGUCACCAUUUGCGCCUUAAAGCGGAUUGUGCAUCACUGCAGGCUCUCUCACGCUCGCCGGCUUCAUACCAGCUGAUGCACAGCAGUUCUUCACUGGCAAGCUUUAUGUUUCUGUACACAUGCUAAAGCUGCCAGCUGAAGAACUGCUCUGGCCAGCUCUGCUCCCGGAAGGCUCAAGAAGAGGAAGCAGAUGACGGGUGAUGGGAAUUUGGCUGAAGAGGACUUUUAUAACCUGUAAGAUUGGACCAGAAACAUUGUAUAGAUUAUAGGCAGACAUGUUAUCCUUUUCCCACCAAAAACUGCUUGAAUUGUGUUUUUUAUGUCUUUUAAUAAAGCACAAAAUAUUUUCUCAGAUGUGUUGUUGCAGUCACGCUAUAGACAAUAAAGUGCAUACCAGCACUGCAUGUUCUCUCGUCCAAAAAUAACAGCACACUCACAGAGAGGCACAUGACUACGCAAAAAUGUGUCACACCUAAUGGCUUUUAAGUAUCUGCUGAUCCCAUCAAAGGAUCAGAGUAAAUUAAGAUGCUCUUUAAAUGCUAAAUUGUCAAAGCAAAUUGGUUUCAGAUCUGCAAUAACUGCC